rnacentral:rRNA from 1 species
CCUACGGGAGGCAGCAGUGGGGAAUUUUGGGCAAUGGCCGCAAGGCUGACCCAGCGACGCCGCGUGCGGGAGGAAGCCCUUCGGGGUGUAAACCGCUGUCAGAGGGGAAGAAUGGUGGGGGGGUGAAGAGCCUUCUCACGUGACGGUACCCUCAGAGGAAGCGCCGGCUAACUCCGUGCCAGCAGCCGCGGUAAGACGGAGGGCGCGAGCGUUGUUCGGAAUUACUGGGCGUAAAGCGCGCGCAGGCGGGUGCGUAAGUCGGGAGUGAAAGACCGGGGCUCAACCCCGGGGCGGCUUCCGAGACUGCGGGUCUAGGGACCGGUAGAGGCCGGUGGAAUUCCCGGUGUAGCGGUGGAAUGCGUAGAGAUCGGGAAGAACACCUGUGGCGAAGGCGGCCGGCUGGGCCGGGUCCGACGCUGAGGCGCGAAAGCGUGGGGAGC